rnacentral:rRNA from 1 species
AUUGAACGCUGGCGGCGUGCUUAACACAUGCAAGUCGAUCGGUAACGCGGGGGCAACCCUGGCGACGAGAGGCGGACGGGUGAGGAACGCUUGGGAAUCUGCCCUUCAGCGGGGGACAACACGGGGAAACUCGUGCUAAUACCGCAUACGCUCCACGGAGGAAAGCCGGGGACCGCAAGGCCUGGCACUGAAGGAUGAGCCCAAGUCGGAUUAGCUAGUUGGCGGGGUAACGGCCCACCAAGGCGACGAUCCGUAGCUGGUCUGAGCGGACGAUCAGCCACACUGGGACGAGGACACGGCCCAGACUCCUACGGGAGGCAGCAGUGGGGAAUAUUGGACAAUGGGAGAAACCCUGAUCCAGCGACGCCGCGUGGGUGAAGAAGGCCUGCGGGUUGUAAAGCCCUUUCGGUAGGGACGAAAGCUCUUGCUCUAACAAGGCAGGAGGUUGACUUAACCUACAUAAGAAGCACCGGCUAACUCUGUGCCAGCCGCCGCCGUAACAC